GAUCAGUGGCUACAGGACGACGCUGGCGGCGUGCCUAACACAUGCAAGUCGAGCGAAUGAAGUUCCUUCGGGGAAUGGAUUUAGCGGCGGACGGGUGAGUAACGCGUGGGUAACCUGCCUUGUACUGGGGGAUAGCAGCUGGAAACGGCUGGUAAUACCGCAUAAGCGCACAAUGUUGCAUGACAUAGUGUGAAAAACUCCGGUGGUAUAAGAUGGACCCGCGUCUGAUUAGCUAGUUGGUGAGAUAACAGCCCACCAAGGCGACGAUCAGUAGCCGACCUGAGAGGGUGACCGGCCACAUUGGGACUGAGACACGGCCCAGACUCCUACGGGAGGCAGCAGUGGGGAAUAUUGCACAAUGGAGGAAACUCUGAUGCAGCGACGCCGCGUGAGUGAAGAAGUAAUUCGUUAUGUAAAGCUCUAUCAGCAGGGAAGAUAGUGACGGUACCUGACUAAGAAGCUCCGGCUAAAUACGUG
rnacentral:rRNA from 1 species